rnacentral:misc_RNA from 1 species
CCGUCAAUUCCUUUAAGUUUCAGUCUUGCGACCGUACUCCCCAGGCGGAAUGCUUAAAGCGUUAGCGACGGCACCCGGGGACUAUAAAACCCCAGACACCAAGCAUUCAUCGUUUAAGGCUAGGACUACCGGGGUAUCUAAUCCUGUUCGCUCCCCACGCUUUCGCGUCUCAGCGUCAGUACCGUCCCAGAGAACCGCCUUCGCCACGGGUGUUCUUCCCGAUAUCUGCGCAUUUCACCGCUACACCGGGAAUUCCAUUCUCCUCUUCCGGACUCUAGCCAGAUGGUUUCAGCCGACAUCUCGAGGUUGAGCCUCGAGUUUUCACAGCUGACCUAUCUGGCCGCCUACACGCUCUUUACGCCCAAUAAAUCCGGACAACGCUUGCCCCCUACGUAUUACC